AGUGCUUCUCAACCUUUUGGCUGAGAUCAAGUGUAGUAUCUUCUUACCAGUUUAAUAUCUGAUAUGUUCUCUGUUUGAGGACAAUAUAUUAAGCGAAUCUUUGGAACAGGGAGUUGGAGUAGGGGCUUGCUUUGUCCACUCUUGUGUAUUGACCUGAUAUUGCAGUUCUUUCAGGAACGGUGCACCCCCU
rnacentral:snRNA from 1 species